CCAGGCUGGAGUGCAGUGGCAUGAUCUCAGCUCACUGCAACAUCUGCCUCCCAGGUUCAAGGGGUUCUCCUGCCUCAGCCUCCUGAGUUGCUGGGACUUCAGCCUCCUGAGUUGCUGGGACUACAUGUGCACACCACCAUGCCCGCUUUCCAGCCAUUGUUUCAUCCCUCAGCGAUACCACCUGCUUCCGCGUGGAACCCAAACCCCCAGGAAACUAAAUCUGCUCAGGUCACCCACCUAGGAAUAAAUAAAAACAGGUUUCAGGCCCUUUGUCCUUUGUAAAUUCCGCCUUUUUUUUUUUUUUAAGGCCUGUGUUCUUUAUCACGGACACUGUUCACAUAGUGGUAAUCCUUGCCUGACUCAGAUCUACUUGUUCCUGCGUUUCAUUCCUCCGCUGCUCAAUUACUUGUUCAAAACGCAAAGGACAACUGGUAGUGAAGACCCUCCACCAGCAACACUACCAUGUGCCAGGCACCGUGCUGGGGACCGGGGAUACAAAGAUGAGUAGUGUACCGUCCUUGCCCCCAGGACAGUUCCCCGUGUCCGCAGGGCCGGCCUGGAGGGCCACAGCCAACUGUGGGCAACAGGAUCACCGUGCCCUUCGCGGCAAGUGAGUGCAGUAGUAGGGGACGGUUACUGCCAAGCCAAAGGUUUUCUCCAGGUAAAACUGGAUGACAGAGAGACAGAGACUGAAGCAACGCCGGCGCCGG
rnacentral:lncRNA from 1 species